UUAAGUUCAGCGGGUAUCCCUACCUGAUCCGAGGUCAACCUUGAGAAGUUGGGGGGUUCUGGCGAGCCACCGAGAGGACCCUAUAGCGAGGAGAUUUACUACGCUUAGGGCCUACCGGCGCCGCCACUGAUUUUGAGGGCCGCGGAACCGCGUGCCCCAAUACCACGCCAGGCGUGAGUGGUCUAAAUGACGCUCGAACA
rnacentral:misc_RNA from 1 species